rnacentral:rRNA from 1 species
UACGUAGGUGGCAAGCGUUGUCCGGAUUUAUUGGGUUUAAAGGGUGCGUAGGCGGCCCUGUAAGUCAGUGCUGAAAUAUCCCGGCUUAACCGGGAGGGUGGCAUUGAUACUGUAGGGCUUGAGUAAAGUUGAGGUUGGCGGAAUUGACGGUGUAGCGGUGAAAUGCUUAGAUAUCGUCAAGAACACCUAUUGCGAAGGCAGCUAACUAGCUAACUGACGCUGAGGCACGAAAGUGUGGGGGAUCAAAACAGG